AUAUUUGUUAAAGAAAUUCGCUGAUAGAUGGGCAUGCGUUCCAUUAGGUAGUUGGUGAGGUAACGGCUCACCAAGCCGACGAUGGAUAGGGGAACUGAGAGGUUGGUCCCCCACACUGGUACUGAGACACGGACCAGACUCCUACGGGAGGCAGCAGUGAGGAAUAUUGGUCAAUGGGCGAGAGCCUGAACCAGCCAAGUCGCGUGAAGGAAGAAGGAUCUAUGGUUCGUAAACUUCUUUUGCAGGGGAAUAAAGUGCAGGACGUGUCCUGUUUUGUAUGUACCCUGAGAAUAAGGAUCGGCUAACUCCGUGCCAGCAGCCGCGGUAAUACGGAGGAUCCGAGCGUUAUCCGGAUUUAUUGGGUUUAAAGGGUGCGUAGGUGGUUUUAUAAGUCAGCGGUGAAAGUUUGCAGCUUAACUGUAAAAAUGCCGUUGAAACUGUAAGACUUGAGUGUAAAUGAGGUAGGCGGAAUGCGUGGUGUAUCGGUGAAAUGCAUAGAUAUCACGAAGAACUCCGA
rnacentral:rRNA from 1 species